rnacentral:rRNA from 1 species
UACGUAGGGUGCGAGCGUUGUCCGGAAUUAUUGGGCGUAAAGAGCUCGUAGGCGGUCUGUCGCGUCGGUCGUGAAAACUUGGGGCUUAACCCUGAGCUUGCGGUCGAUACGGGCAUGACUGGAGUUCGGCAGGGGAGACUGGAAUUCCUGGUGUAGCGGUGAAAUGCGCAGAUAUCAGGAGGAACACCGAUGGCGAAGGCAGGUCUCUGGGCUGACACUGACGCUCAUGCACGAAAGCGUGGGGAGCAAACAGG